rnacentral:rRNA from 1 species
CAGCAGCCGCGGGAAUACGUAGGGUGCGAGCGUUAAUCGGAAUUACUGGGCGUAAAGCGUGCGCAGGCGGUUCGUUAAGACAGAUGUGAUAUCCCCAGGCUUAACCUGGGAACUGCAUUUGUGACUGGCGAGCUAGAGUAUGGCAGAGGGGGGUAGAAUUCCACGUGUAGCAGUGAAAUGCGUAGAGAUGUGGAGGAAUACCGAUGGCGAAGGCAGCCCCCUGGGCCAAUACUGACGCUCAUGCACGAAAGCGUGGGGAGCAAACAGGAUUAGAUACCCCAGUAGUCCCUGUCUCUUAUAC